GUUCAACCACUAUCGAUUGAAUUCCUUGAAUUGUGGAACGUGAUAUGACUGCUUUAAUAACUGCUUUGAUAACUGCACUUCUUGAUAACCGCGACGCUUUAUGUUUGUUAAGACUUUGGGCGACUUGAAAGUUUGGGCGAGAAUAAAGUAACAGCUCUGGGCGACUGUAUGACAUUCCAUUCGCUCAAAUUCUGGGCGACUUGCAAACUUGAGAGAUGGCGUUACCGCGUUCUUGGGCCUCCUUAUUUGGGCCUUCAUCUUGAUUUGUUCAAUUGGACUUCGUUAUUUGGGCUAUCUGAUUUGAGGAUUCUCCAAUUGGGCUUCACUCCUUGGGCUGUUCGAUUUGGGCUGCAUUUUUAUGUGUUAACA
rnacentral:lncRNA from 1 species